rfam:Arabis alpina cultivar Pajares scaff_50386_1_contig_8, whole genome shotgun sequence.
AUACCAUGGUGAUGGCAAGCUCUUGUGUACCCCUUCAUACGCUCCCAUGCAUAAUACAAACUCUCUUCUUCGCCUUCUCGAAUCUAGCUAUAUCAUUCCUUAUUUU